UUUCUUUUUCCCUUCUCAUCUUCCUUUUCCUUUCCUUAUCUCUUCACACAAAAACCAAACCCCUCUUCCUCUAAAAACCCAAACUUUCAUUGUUGAAAACCUGGCCAAGCUCUGUCGCUCCCAAAUUUCUUGGUGAAAUCGCAGAAGAAGAAGUGCAAAGCAAAGACGACACCCUCGUCAUCGCCUUGAUUUUCAAGAAACAUCGAUUCAAAUCUCACUAAAGGUAAAGAUCCGGUCGAACGCCUCCCUCGCACCGCGCAAGCCGCCGCCGCCCCUGGAGAUCGUUCGUCGCCUUUCGAAGCCACCUUUCUUUCGUGCCAAGCCCUGCUCCGCACGACGCCGCUCGCCGUUCGUGGUGUGCAGCCGCGGCGCCGUGAGUUGCCCAGCCUCGCCAGCUCGCCGUACCUGUCCGGCUCACAUAGAGGCUGCUGCCGCUGUCGACCGCCUCUCCGAUCUGCCUCAUCCACCAAUUUUCGCCAGUCAAUCCCUGCCGCGUGGGUUUUCGUCGGACUCUUGGAGUUGGGUCCCAAGUAGUAUCUGUUGGAAUUAGAAUCUGCUUUAAGGGGAGAUUUUGGAUAUUGAAAUCUUGGGUGUGUUGUUGAUCAAGUUUCUAUGAGUAAGUUUGGGAUAUUUUAGAUUUGGAUAUGACGUUUUGCAGUUAUUGUUGGACUUGUCUGAUUUGAGACUGGUGAUAAAGUGUUCUUAAAGGUGACACCGAUGAAGGGUAUUUUGAGGUUUGGAAGGAAAUGGAAGCUGAGCCCGGGGUUUAUUGGACUUCCGAGGUCUUGGAGUAAAUUGGUCCUGUAGCUUACCGAUGUCUUCCAUGUUUUGAUGCUGAGAAAGUAUGUGACAGAUCCGUCCCAUGUAGUUGACUUUGAGCCAUUGUAGUUGAAUGACAACUUGAGCUACAAGGAGAAGCUGUAAAAAUUCUCGCCAGAGGGGGAAAGACAUUGCACAGAAGGGAGAUAGCAUUUGUGAAAGUCCUGUGGCAGAAUCACCAAUUCAAGAGGCUACCUUGGAGCAAGAGGAUGAGGUGAAGCCAUAGUACCCAGAGCUUUUUCACGAAUAAACUUUCAAGGAUGAAAGUUCUUGAAGGAGGAAAUAAUGUAAAAUCUCGAAAUUUUGUUUGUAAUGUAAUUUCAAUAUUUUGUAAUUUUCGAGAUCAUUUUUUAAUUUUGGAAAUUUAAUUGGAUUAAUGAGAUCCAAUUAUUGAGAAAGGGAUGUUUCAAUUUAAUUGUUAAAUAAGAGAGAAAUUGUGGGAAUUGGACUUUAUGUUAGACGAAUUUAAUUUGAAAUUAAUGUCAAGAAUUAAUUUU